AUUAACAGGAUUAGAUACCCUGGUAGUCCACGCCGUAAACGUUGGGCGCUAGAUGUAGGGACCUUUCUACGGUUUCUGUGUCGUAGCUAACGCAUUAAGCGCCCCGCCUGGGGAGUACGGCCGCAAGGCUAAAACUCAAAGGAAUUGACGGGGGCCCGCACAAGCGGCGGAGCAUGCGGAUUAAUUCGAUGCAACGCGAAGAACCUUACCAAGGCUUGACAUACACCGGAAACGGCCAGAGAUGGUCGCCCCCUUGUGGUCGGUGUACAGGUGGUGCAUGGUUGUCGUCAGCUCGUGUCGUGAGAUGUUGGGUUAAGUCCCGCAACGAGCGCAACCCUCGUUCUAUGUUGCCAGCGCGUUAUGGCGGGGACUCAUAGGAGACUGCCGGGGUCAACUCGGAGGAAGGUGGGGAUGACGUCAAAUCAUCAUGCCCCUUAUGUCUUAGGCUUCACGCAUGCUACAAUGGCCGGUACAAAGGGCUGCGAUACCGUAAGGUGGAGCGAAUCCCAAAAAGCCGGUCUCAGUUCGGAUUGAGGUCUGCAACUCGACCUCAUGAAGUCGGAGUCGCUAGUAAUCGCAGAUCAGCAACGCUGCGGUGAAUACGUUCCCGGGCCUUGUACACACCGCCCGUCAAGUCAUGAAAGUCGGUAACACCCGAAGCCGGUGGCCUAACCCUUGUGGGAGGAGCCGUCGAAGGUGGGAUCGGUGAUUAGGACUAAGUCGUAACAAGGUAGCCAAU
rnacentral:rRNA from 1 species